CCGAGGGCUGCCGGGUCAGACGACAGGCGACCUUGCUUUUUAAAAAGAACCCUCAGGGUCUCCCUUGCCUCUGCCCUGCUGUUGACGAGGUCCAUGGCUAGUAGGAGGCGCACCCUGGGUUUCUUGAGGCUGGUGUGUGCUGUAGCGGGGAUAGCAUCAAAAGCAAGGGAUGCUGGCAGGCAUGAGAAGCCGCUUGGACCCUGACAGGAGAUUAGAGUAUGCUGUGAAUUCUAACUUCAACUUAAAUCACAACUCUGUUUAGCUUCUCUUCGUCUGUGGGCUGGCUUUUAACCUAUUGUGUGAACACCAGUGAAUUUAUUAGUACUUCUGAGCGGGUCUUUUUCUUUCCCCUCUGAACUUGUGCCUAUUGAAGAAGAAGUGAUGCCUUCAUCUUUGAAGUGUUUCUUCCGCAAGCGACUUUUAUGGCUUGUGACCCAAAGCGUUGAGUAACACGAAUCUCAGAAAAUAUAUAGAAAACCAAAGCUAUGGCGCUUGUAGUUUCAAGUUUGUUUCUUAAGAUUUUCAGUUGAGUGCCCAUGUGUUCUAGGAGCUGCAAAAUAUGCGAUCUUUAUCUGCCAGUGAUGAAAUUGAAGGGCUGCUUUGUAUCCGGUACUUUAAAGAAGCAUAAGGAAACAAGAGUCUAGAGGCCAGAAAAGACCGCGAGCCACAUUUUUCUUCCCUGCUAGGUUCCAUGGCCUUGCAGAAAUAAGAGCUCCACCUAGGAUUCUUUGCAUAAAGCUCCAUAAACAGAAUCAUAUCUGCUUCAUUUACGGCACAAUUUAAGCUAACCAAACCUGGCCUGAAGUUCAGUCACCAGCUCAGCACCCAGAUGGGAUAAACUGUCUUGUCUUUGUAAAUGUGAGGGAGAGACCUGGUUUUGAAGGCUAGAGGAUUGGACAGACUGAGGAAGUGAUUGUUCCAUUUCCACAAAGCAGAGAUGUCAGCUUAUUUAUAGGAAUCACCCAAAGCCAGAGUCAUGGUGGAUGUAGGAAAGUGGCCAAUCUUCACUCUGCUCUCACCCCAGGAAACUGCAUCGAUCAGGAAAGCAUGCGUCUUUGGUGGUUCUGCCAACGAGGCGAUCUAUGUCACUGACAAAGAUGAGGUCUUCGUGUUUGGACUGAACUAUAGUAACUGUCUAGGAACUGGAGACAACCAGAGCACUCUGGUGCCCAAAAGACUAGAAGCCUUGUGUGGAAAAAAAAUCAAAAGCCUUAGUUAUGGGAGUGGCCCCCAUGUCCUCCUCAGCACUGAAGAUGGAGCUGUCUACGCCUGGGGCCAUAAUGGAUACAGCCAGCUGGGGAAUGGGACCACCAAUCAAGGCAUUGCUCCUGUCCAAGUGUGUACUAACCUCUUGAUCAAGCAGGUGGUUGAGGUAGCCUGUGGUUCACAUCAUUCGAUGGCCUUAGCAGCUGAUGGAGAGGUAUUUGCAUGGGGCUAUAACAACUGUGGUCAGGUGGGGUCAGGAUCUACAGCAAACCAGCCAACUCCUCGGAAAGUUACAAACUGUUUACAUGCUAAGAGAGUGGUCAGCAUUGCCUGUGGUCAGACCUCAUCCAUGGCUGUUCUGGAUAGUGGUGAGGUGUAUGGCUGGGGCUAUAAUGGCAAUGGACAGCUGGGCUUGGGAAACAAUGGCAAUCAGUUGACCCCAGUGAGGGUGGCAGCCCUGCACAACGUGUGUGUGAACCAGAUUGCCUGCGGGUACGCACAUACUCUAGCACUAACAGAUGAGGGCUUGCUCUAUGCCUGGGGAGCUAACACAUAUGGGCAGCUGGGAAAUGGCAAUAAAAUUAAUGUGCUAAACCCAACACACAUCAUGGUGGAAAAAGAAAGGGUUGUAGAGAUUGCAGCCUGUCACACCACCCACACAUCUGCCGCUAAGACCCAGGGUGGGCAUGUGUACAUGUGGGGCCAGUGCCGGGGCCAGUCAGUGACCCUUCCCCACCUCACCCACUUCUCCUGCACCGACCAUGUGUUCGCCUGCUUUGCCACUCCUGCUGUCUCGUGGCACCUCCUGUCUGUGGAGCAUGAAGACUUUUCAACAGUUGCAGAUUCACUGAAGAAAGAAUUUGAUAGUCCAGAAACUGCUGAUCUGAAGUUUCGAAUUGAUGGGAAAUAUAUUCAUGUCCAUAAAGCUGUUUUAAAAAUCAGGUGUGAGCACUUCCGAUCCAUGUUCCAGUCCUAUUGGAAUGAGGACAUGAAGGAGGUGAUAGAGAUAGACCAGUUUUCUUACCCUGUGUACCGUGCCUUUCUCCAGUACCUCUACACAGACACAGUUGAUCUGCCACCUGAGGAUGCCAUAGGUCUUCUGGACCUGGCAACAUCAUACUGUGAAAACAGACUGAAGAGACUCUGUCAGCACAUCAUCAAGCAAGGCAUCACUGUGGAGAACGCAUUUUCCUUAUUCUCUGCUGCAGUCAGAUAUGACGCAGAGGAUUUAGAAGAAUUCUGCUUUAAGUUUUGCAUCAAUCAUUUGACAGACGUUACACAGACUGCGGCAUUUUGGCAAAUGGAUGGCCCCCUGCUAAAGGAGUUCAUUGCUAAAGCCAGUAAAUGUGGAGCCUUUAAGAACUGAAACCCGAGGCUGCUGGGCUGGGUGUGAGUGGGUGAUGUGAGACUGCAGGUAAAACCUGCCAGGUCGCUUUUGUCACAUCAGAGACAGUAGGAGUAUAUGAAGGAUGCUUUUCAUGAGCCUGUUUUUCACAGCUCUUCUUUCUGGAUAUGUGUACUUGAAAUGGGAUUUCCUUACAUUUGGCUGAAUGCUCCGAAAGGAUGAAAGCUUAGUUGCUUUUGAUUUUUUAAUUUUGAUGAGAGGAUCUUUUGAACUGGGACUAAGGAUGCUGGUGAGAUGUUCCUGGACCUUUGGCGACACGCCUAUUCACACUGCAUGUGGAGGACAAGCCCUGCCAUUGCUCCUGAGUGCUGCUCGCUGUCACCACCUUCCUUUGGGGCACCAGACUGUGGGAGGCUCUCAAGAAAUACUGUCGGAUAUGCAUCAGACCCAUGUAAACAGUCAAGUGUUGAGGUUUGCCGAGAUUCUCUUAAGAUGUGGGCACUUCAGGCUGGAAAGAUGGCUGAGCAGAGAACAAGCUUGGAGGAGCAGAAUAAACUGGGUAGAGGGACAGUGGAAGAGAAAAACCAAGUGGUAGCCCUUGGCAGCUCUGGAGAACCACAGCAGCCCCUUCUCUGUGACGGACUAGUGCUGAGAGUCAAGUUACCGGAGGAUGCAGGACGUACCGAAGAGGCAUCAAGCAGGAGGGGUAAGGGAAAGGUGACCCUUACACCUACAGUUUGGAGGACAGA